rnacentral:rRNA from 1 species
AGUGAACGCUGGCGGCGUGCCUAAUACAUGCAAGUCGAACGAUGAAGUCCUAGCUUGCUAGGAUGGAUUAGUGGCGCACGGGUGAGUAAUAUAUAGUUAAUCUGCCCUACACAGAGGAACAACAGUUGGAAACGACUGCUAAUACCUCAUACUCCUAUUUGACAUAAGUUAAAUAGGGAAAGUCUUUUCGGUGUAGGAUGAGACUAUAUCGUAUCAGCUAGUUGGUAAGGUAAUGGCUUACCAAGGCUAUGACGCGUAACUGGUCUGAGAGGAUGAUCAGUCACAUUGGAACUGAGACACGGUCCAAACUCCUACGGGAGGCAGCAGUAAGGAAUAUUGCGCAAUGGGGGAAACCCUGACGCAGCAACGCCGCAUGGAGGAUGACACUUUUCGGAGCGUAAACUCCUUUUAUCAGGAAAGAAUAAUGACGGUACCUGAUGAAUAAGCACCGGCUAACUCCGUG